GAAAGAAUCCAUAAGAUAGAGAGGAUUCAGUUUCUGUGGGCAUUUACACAACUAAACUUUGUUUAAACUAAAAAAUUGAAAACUUCUUAUGUGUUUUGGCCAUUCAUUUACACAACAGCGGCAUUCUGGGUGCCUGAAAAUGCAAACUUUUGAAAACAGGGGUCCAUUCUUCGUACCUUGCUUAAUAAAUCUGAGAUGGUUUGAAAGAUGCCAGAUCUUCUAAUCAUGAUAACUGAUCUCUGGCUAAUUUGGUUCUUCAAACAAAUUUGUGGAUUUGAUUAAAAUACCUGGAUUAAGCUGUCUGAGAUUACUAUGAGUUCUCAUGUUCCCUGAAAAGGACAGAUGUAUCAAUACUAAAAACUGUAUCAAUGUAUCAAUACACAAAAAAAAAAAAAAAAAAAAAAAAAAAAAAAAUGCAGCUAUUGGCUGGUGGCAAGACAGCAACAUAUUGACAUCAUAUAAUUAACAAAAAUUUGACACAUUUCUGAACAUUUACAGUUUAAGGAAACAACCAAACAAAUGAAAUAGUUAUAAUAGAUAAAGGAAAUGUGCACUGUUUUUAAUUCUUUUUAUUUUUUAUUUACAAGAUUCACAAUUAUUUAUUUUUUAAGAUUUCUAGUAUUUUAUAAUAUUAUAACAUUAUUUUGUAAUUAUUAUUCUUUUAAAAGUAUUGUCCCUGGAUCAAUAGAGUACUCUUGUAUUAAAGUAGUGGCUGGGACAGAUUUUGAGUAUCACUUCUGCUUAAAAAAACACAUUCAAUUCCUGUUUACAUAAAAUAAGCCUGCUCCCGAGCAAGUUUAAGCUUACAGACCUGUUGCUAUGACAGGAACUCCAAGAUUAGCUUUGAAGAACCAAACAAUCCAAGAUCAUGCCAAAUCAUCAACAAUCAAAUCCAGCGUGAGUGAGCGACGUAUGAAGAACAGACCUCAGGUUUUGAAGUGCAAACUUUUGAAAACAACACUUUUAUCAUCUCUGUGUAAACUACGAAAACUACUUGUUCCUGAUGGUUGGUCUUGUCUGUCAGUCUUGUUUGCCUUAUGGAAGGACUGUCUCCUGGAGAGCCAGGCCUAAUUAAACACACAUGAACCAGCUUAUCACAGUCUUCAGGAUGGUAGUAGAAACUUCAGGCAAGUUGGAACUGUGCUUGAAUGCAGCGUCAUGGAGAUUAUAUACAAAUUAACUUAAGUUACUUUUUUUGUAAUGUUCAGAUUACAAAACAAGUAACUUAAAACUGUACAAUUAUGUUGAUUGUCACGUUUGUUGAGUUUUGUAUGUUGAGUGUUGAUUAGUGUGUGCCUAGUUGCCGACCUAACCAUUCUACUAGACACAAAAGUAUUGCCAACACCUGGUUAAUUGUUUAUAAAAGAUGAUUUUCUUUUAAAGGGGUCAUAUGAUGCUGCUAAAAAGAACAUUAUUUUGUGUAUUUGGUGUAAUGAAAUGUGUUUAUAUGGUUUAAGGUUAAAAAACAAAUAAUUUUCCACAUACUGUACAUUAUUGUUUCUUCUCUAUGCCCCGCCUUCUGAAACGCGUCAAUUUUUACAAGGCUCAUCGCUCUGAAAAUCGAGGUGUGCUGUGAUUGGCCAGCUAUCCAGCGCAUUGUGAUUGGCCGAAUGGUGAAAGCCCAUUCUGCGAUCCACAGCAUGAAGUUGAUGUAUUUCCUCAGCAACUAGCACAGAUCAGCCCCAGGCAUGACGAAGCGGAUAUCGUCCUCUUUNACAUUCUAGUCAUGUCUUCUUUUGGAAGGCAAAAACAAAGUAGUUUCGCUUUCUCAACGAAACAGCGUCACACACCGCGGCCUUGAGUGAGCAGAGGUCGGAGGCCUAGAGUGAACUGCGGCUGGUUUCAGUGAGCAGAGGCUGGAGGCCUAGAGUGAGCCACGGUCUAGACUGAGCCACGGCCGGCUUGAGUGAGCAGAGGCGGGUGGCUUGAGGCGGAUUCUACAAAGGAGCGUAUCUUGUGUGUGCGGCAACCACAUGUGAUGACCCCGGGCUGGACUCCACUUCGUCCACGGUGAAAGCCCAUUCUGCGAUCCACAGUGUGAAGUUGAUGUAUUUCCUCAGCAACCAGCACAGAUCAGCCACAGGCAUGACGAAGCGGAUAUCGUCCUCUUUUGGAAGGCCAAACAAAGUAGUUUCGCUUUCACAGUGAAACACACAGUGUCCAUACGACAUGGCAGCGACAGCAACAACAAUACUACAACGAGAAUCUUUCUUUGCAUGAACAUCUGGGCGGUGUUAUGCAAAUCUUCCUACAUACUGAUGUAGAUAUGUGGGGGCGUGUUAGAAUAAGCCGUUUCAGGGGGGCGUGGACGAGUCUCAACUUUUAUAAAGAAAAUCUCUUUGGAUUUGAGACUUAAGUCUUUGCAGCUUUACAGAUCUCGUUNCAUUCUGCGAUCCACAGUGUGAAGUUGAUGUAUUUCCUCAGCAACCAGCACAGAUCAGCCACAGGCAUGACGAAGCGGAUAUCGUCCUCUUUUGGAAGGCCAAACAAAGUAGUUUCGCUUUCACAGUGAAACACACAGUGUCCAUACGACAUGGCAGCGACAGCAACAACAAUACUACAACGAGAAUCUUUCUUUGCAUGAACAUCUGGGCGGUGUUAUGCAAAUCUUCCUACAUACUGAUGUAGAUAUGUGGGGGCGUGUUAGAAUAAGCCGUUUCAGGGGGGCGUGGACGAGUCUCAACUUUUAUAAAGAAAAUCUCUUUGGAUUUGAGACUUAAGUCUUUGCAGCUUUACAGAUCUCGUUUAUUCACCAAGAGCUUGUAACACUCCAAAGAGAAAGGAAAAUUUGAAAUCGCAUCAUAUGACCCCUUUAGAUUGAAUUCUACAACAUGCAAUUAUGAGCACACUUAAGAGUUCAUUAACCCUAGUCUGCUUUCUUCAUGUAACACUAUUACACAGAAAGCGAAUAAAAUAGUGAAAAAAUAAAUAAGGUCUAAGUGACUUUUAUGAAACACAGUAUUUGCACAAUAUUAU
ensembl:lncRNA